ACGAACGCUGGCGGCGUGCCUAAUACAUGCAAGUAGAACGCUGAAGAGAGGAGCUUGCUCUUCUUGGAUGAGUUGCGAACGGGUGAGUAACGCGUAGGUAACCUGCCUUGUAGCGGGGGAUAACUAUUGGAAACGAUAGCUAAUACCGCAUAACAAUGGAUGACACAUGUCAUUUAUUUGAAAGGGGCAAUUGCUCCACUACAAGAUGGACCUGCGUUGUAUUAGCUAGUAGGUGAGGUAACGGCUCACCUAGGCGACGAUACAUAGCCGACCUGAGAGGGUGAUCGGCCACACUGGGACUGAGACACGGCCCAGACUCCUACGGGAGGCAGCAGUAGGGAAUCUUCGGCAAUGGGGGCAACCCUGACCGAGCAACGCCGCGUGAGUGAAGAAGGUUUUCGGAUCGUAAAGCUCUGUUGUAAGUCAAGAACGAGUGUGAGAGUGGAAAAUUCACACUGUGACGGUAGCUUACCAGAAAGGGACGGCUAACUACGUGCCAGCAGCCGCGGUAAUACGUAGGUCCCGAGCGUUGUCCGGAUUUAUUGGGCGUAAAGCGAGCGCAGGCGGUUUGAUAAGUCUGAAGUUAAAGGCUGUGGCUCAACCAUAGUUCGCUUUGGAAACUGUCAAACUUGAGUGCAGAAGGGGAGAGUGGAAUUCCAUGUGUAGCGGUGAAAUGCGUAGAUAUAUGGAGGAACACCGGUGGCGAAAGCGGCUCUCUGGUCUGUAACUGACGCUGAGGCUCGAAAGCGUGGGGAGCGAACAGGAUUAGAUACCCUGGUAGUCCACGCCGUAAACGAUGAGUGCUAGGUGUUGGAUCCUUUCCGGGAUUCAGUGCCGCAGCUAACGCAUUAAGCACUCCGCCUGGGGAGUACGACCGCAAGGUUGAAACUCAAAGGAAUUGACGGGGGCCCGCACAAGCGGUGGAGCAUGUGGUUUAAUUCGAAGCAGCGCGAAGAACCUUACCAGGUCUUGACAUCCCGAUGCUAUUUCUAGAGAUAGAAAGUUACUUCGGUACAUCGGUGACAGGUGGUGCAUGGUUGUCGUCAGCUCGUGUCGUGAGAUGUUGGGUUAAGUCCCGCAACGAGCGCAACCCCUAUUGUUAGUUGCCAUCAUUCAGUUGGGCACUCUAGCGAGACUGCCGGUAAUAAACCGGAGGAAGGUGGGGAUGACGUCAAAUCAUCAUGCCCCUUAUGACCUGGGCUACACACGUGCUACAAUGGUUGGUACAACGAGUUGCGAGUCGGUGACGGCAAGCUAAUCUCUUAAAGCCAAUCUCAGUUCGGAUUGUAGGCUGCAACUCGCCUACAUGAAGUCGGAAUCGCUAGUAAUCGCGGAUCAGCACGCCGCGGUGAAUACGUUCCCGGGCCUUGUACACACCGCCCGUCACACCACGAGAGUUUGUAACACCCGAAGUCGGUGAGGUAACCUUUUGGAGCCAGCCGCCUAAGGUGGGAUAGAUGAUUGGGGUG
rnacentral:rRNA from 1 species